GUAAUGAUUGCAAUGAGUCAGGCUAUGGUUUAUACAACGGCGUUUUCCCACUGAGGCUGAUUUGCUCUAAUGGCUAUUGAUUCAACAAACUCUAACUUGGAAGAAAGGAGGAGCUGUGAAUGGAACAGGGUUGGAGGAAUUAAAUUACCCUAAUGUAACUUUUAAUGGACCUACCAGCAGUGUCCACUCCUUCCAGAAGUCCCCCUGAACAGGAAAGAAGCUGAGGGGCAGAGAUGUGAGACAUUUUGUUCCACUCCACUCAGAUUUCCUGCUGGCAUCCUGGAGUGCAAGAACAUAUGCAUGGUGCGUCCAUGGAGCAAUGCCUGCUUCCUCAGACAAAGAACUGAACAUUGUGUGAUGGCAAGCCCACCCCUCUGGAGAUGGGAGAGAGCAAAUCUGUUCUGAUGAUGAAAUCCGUGGAUGAUUUCAUGUGGGAGCAUGAGGAGAGGAAAGAUUUCAGCAAUCCCACAGUAAAGCACUGUUGUGCUCUUUCUGGAAGACAGUCUAUGAAUGAAAAAUGAACGUGUGUGAGUAAUUUCUGACAAUGUAUGUUAGGGCAGAACUACAUCUGCUGUCUUUUUUGUAGUGUUUCACAAUAGUCAUAUAUUUUUAUCUUCAAGUUCUUGCUAAUGAAAAGCGAUGGAAAAAAUUACUAAAGAGUAUACUUCAUAAAAGCCUUCUGAAGACUUUCAGUGGAUGAAGAGUAUGUUUUAUCCUAUUCAUCUGAAGGUGCUGACAUUUAAAGUUUGCUUUCUCCAUUAAAUUGUUCUCUUAGUAAAGCUGUGCAACUUCCCACAGUGUACAGGGUUCUAUGUCUUCUUUCCUGUGCUGCCCAAUCCUUGCCCUGACUCCUACAGAUUGUCAUACAAUAUAAAUUGCAAUUUCGUGUAGUGUAUUUGUGAAAUCUGCCAGUUCUACAUCACUUGCACAUGAAUGAGAAACAAUGCAAUUUUAAAUCAGCUAAAACCAAGAACAAAACCCAAAAUAUAUCCUAGUCUCUGUCAUUUAAACUUGGGCAGUCGCACUGGCAGAAAUGUACGCCACUGAAUGGUGAUGUGCAAUGCCCAGAGCAGGGCAAAGGGCUUGCUUGCUUCUGGGUUCGGAAGAGCAGAGCUGCUGGUUUCUGCUAGCUGAAACUACUGCAAACGUGUAAGAAGGGAAUGGAGAAAUUAGUUCUUUUUAUGAAACUGAAUUUAUACAAGUCCAAGAAUUGUUGGCUUGCACAAGGCAACAAUGGCUCUUCUUUCUAUCUGCAGCAGCAGUUCUCCAGCCCAGAUGCUGAUGAACCCAGAUCUUGCUUGGAUCUGGAAGUCUCCAGUGUGAGGACUGGUAAAGCUGCUUUUUCGUUGCCACAUGAGGCAGAUGUCUUUUUUCCUACUAAGUUGGGCAUCCGUAGAUCCAGUAACACCCCUUUGUUUACAGGUAAAGUGCUGUCCUGUUUCUGUGCAAGACACUAACAGCCUUAGUAGCAGGAAGUGGAUGACAGUGUAGUUACUGGCUAAAAAUUAUAAAAUGUUAUAUACAAUUAUACUAUUAUCUCCCCUCACUGUAAGAAAGUCAUCGAGGCCCUGGAGCAUGUCCAGAGGAAGGCAACAAAGCUGUUGAGGGGUCUGGAGCACAGGCCUUAUGAAGAGUGGCUGAAGGAGCUGGGAUUGUUCAGUCUGGAGAAGAGGAGGCUCAGGGGAGACCUUAUUGCUCUCUAUAACUACCUGAAGGGAGGUUGUAGUGAGCUGGGGGUCAGCCUCUUCUCUCGGGUGACUAGUGAUAGGACUAGAGGGAAUGGCUUCAAGCUGCUCCAGGGAAGAUUCAGGCUGGACAUUAGGAAAUCCUACUUCUCUGAAAGGGUGGUCAGGCACUGGAAUGGACUGCCCAGAGAGGUGGUGGAGUCACCGACCCUGGUGGUGUUCAAAGAGCGUUUGAAUGUUGUGUUGAGGGACAUGGUUUAGUGAGAACCAUUGGUGAAGGGCGAAUGGUUGGACUGGAUGAUCCUGUGGGUCUUUUCCAACCUUAGUGAUUCUAUGAUUUUACGAUUAUACUGUUUUC
ensembl:lncRNA